rnacentral:sRNA from 1 species
UAUAUAUCCAUGCACACCCUAAUGCACCCAUUUAUUCCACACCAGCCCGCCCACCAAACUGGGAUAUAUCUCUCCCUCCUGCAUCCAAUAAAACCAAGUAGUCUUUCUACAAAAGUCAACCACCCCGGUUGUUUACCAAGCUUCCAUGUCGGGUGUGACCGGGAUUUCCAUCCCCGCCAAGUGGUUUUGACCAUUGCCUCGCCUGCGAGGGCGAGCGGCUGUAUCACAAAAAAGGGGGUAAGAAUCAAAAUGUCUUUGAAAUAUCUAAUCUUGCCGGGAUGGGUCUUCAUCAGAAGCACCAACGUGCCGCAGUCAUGUUGCAGGCCCGAUAAGCCAAAGACAAUGGUCGACUUGACCAGGUUUUGGAACAUGAGCAUCGGGGUCAUGCGUUUGGAAGGCAGUUGGGUGGGAGUGGUAGGUAUCGGAUGAUUGGGAGAUACUCUGCCUGAUGGAGAUGGAGUAUUGGCAGAAGAAGAUGAGUCGGGUGGUACAGAAGGAUGAGAUGACAACCCAGUGUGUGUCAAAUGAAGCACCUUUUCUGAUAUGCCUAUCCACCCAAACACAUACAGCCAUCGACGGUUGAAUCCUUGCCAUGUCUACAAGGAUAUUACCGCUUUGUCAGAGCUUUGUGUUACACAUAUUCGCCUGGAUUACUCACCCGUGACCACAUCGUUGACAACCCUGGGUACCUCCACAACUCUGUAAAAUUGCCGAACAAUGGAGGCCACCCCCAUGGACUCCACAUCUCUCCCUCCCAGCCCAUCAGUCCACCAAUGCCUACGCACAGUAAUGCCGCGAGCACGUGGGAAAGGUUGAGCCCAUACCACGUACGAGUAACAACCAUAAUGCUAUAUAUGGCCUUUUGGCCCAGGGUGAGGUCGGCGUAAGUGAGAGUAGGAUUUGGAUGAAAGAAGGCUCGAGCAGAAGUGAGAUUCAUAAGGGAACGCAUGAAGUCGUAGAACAGCCAAGCUGCCGCAAUAAAGGUUAACCUGGAAAAGAAGUAGGCCCUUCUUGGAGACCCUUUUGUGUAGGGCUCGCGUCUCGAAGAGGAUGGAAGGGGACAACAAUAAUUCCAGCCUACACCUCUCCAUGACCACCAAAGGGAAGUAGCCCAAUAGAAUUUGGCGAGUGUAAAAGGAGCUGGGACACGCUCGGGUACCAGAGGUUGGGUAUCAUUAGAUGAUGAAGGAGGCUUGAGAGCGGAUACGUUUGGAGGUGGACGAGGAUUUAAGCGGGGAAUGAAACGAUGUGUAUGCUCUUCAGCGGGAAAAAAGACCAGAAGCUCGUACGUUCUAAAUAUAAAGCUCACUGAGGAUCAUUAUCAAUACAACCCACAUAUGUGCUCUUUCAAAGGCUCACGUAGUAAUAUGGGUAUCCCCCAAUGGUCAUAAUUGCUCUCCGUAACUGGGAUGAACAUAAGAUAGCCCCAUAUCGUAGAUAUUAAGGGAGCAGCGAUAGCUAUUCUGAAUAGCCUCCAGGGGCCAUGGUGAGGUAAGGAUAGGAUGACAGUUGUCAAGAAGGCAUUAAAAAAUCCGAGGUUGUAGUCAAAAGGGGUGACGGGGUGUUGUGGAGGGAGAAGUGCGAGGAGAGAGGAUAAGAGCGGCAUUCAAGUAGUGAGGGGAGACGGGCUGGCAGAGAAUAUUACGGAGAUGG